AUACGGAGGGUGCAAGCGUUACUCGGAAUCACUGGGCGUAAAGCGCGCGCAGGCGGCUAUUUAAGUUGGAUGUGAAAGCCUACGGCUCAACCGUAGAACUGCAUCCAAAACUAUUUAGCUAGAGUGCGGGAGAGGAAGAUGGAAUUAGUUGUGUAGAGGUAAAAUCCGUAGAGAUAACUAGGAAUACCAAAAGCGAAGGCAAUCUUCUGGAACACUACUGACGCUGAGGCGCGAAAGCGUGGGGAGCAAACGGGAUUAGAAACCCUAGUAGUCC
rnacentral:rRNA from 1 species